rnacentral:rRNA from 1 species
GAGUUUGAUCCUGGCUCAGAACGAACGCUGGCGGCGUGCCUAACACAUGCAAGUCGAACGUGAUCCGGAGCUUGCUCUGGUGAAAGUGGCGCACGGGUGAGUAACGCGUGGAUAACCUACCCUGGUAUCCGGGAUAACAUUCCGAAAGGGGUGCUAAUACCGGAUAAGCCCACGGGCUCUUUGGAGCUUGCGGGAAAAGGUGGCCUCUAUUUAUAAGCUACUGUAUCAGGAUGGGUCCGCGUACCAUUAGCUAGUUGGCGGUGUAACGGACCACCAAGGCGACGAUGGUUAGCUGGUCUGAGAGGAUGAUCAGCCACACUGGAACUGAGACACGGUCCAGACUCCUACGGGAGGCAGCAGUGGGGAAUUUUGCGCAAUGGGGGAAACCCUGACGCAGCAACGCCGCGUGAGUGAUGAAGGCCUUUGGGUCGUAAAGCUCUGUCAGAGGGGAAGAAAUGAUAUAGUGCUAAUACCACUUUAUCCUGACGGUACCCUCAAAGGAAGCACCGGCUAACUCCGUGCCAGCAGCCGCGGUAAUAC